GGCCGUACCACCCGGGUAAGUGCCGUACUAACCCGUUAAGUGUCCCCCCCUGGGGAGUACGCACGCAAGUGUGAAACUCAAAGGAAUUGAGGGGGCCCGCACAAGCGGUGGAGCAUGUGGUUUAAUUCGAUGCAAACCGAAGAACCUUACCAGGGCUUGACAUGCUGCGAAACCUGCGGAAACGUGGGGGUGCCUUCGGGAGCGCGGCACACAGGUGGUGCAUGGCUGUCGUCCAGCUCGUGUCGUGAAAUGUUGGGUUAAGUCCCGCAACGAGCGCAACCCUUGCCGUUAGUUGCCAGCGGGUGAAGCCGGGCACUCUAACGGGACUGCCUGCGAAAGCAGGAGGAAGGCGGGGACGACGUCUGGUCAUCAUGGCCCUUAGGGCCUGGGGGACACACGUGCUACAAUGCCCACUACAGAGCGAGGCGACCUGGCGACAGGGAGCGAAUCGCAAAAAGGUGGGCGUAGUUCGGAUUGGGGUCUGCAACCCGACCCCAUGAAGCCGGAAUCGCUAGUAAUCGCGGAUCAGCCAUGCCGCGGUGAAUACGUUCCCGGGCCUUGUACACACCGCCCGUCACGCCAUGGGAGCGGGUUCUACCCGAAGUCUUUGGGAGCCUUAGGGCAGGCGCCGAGGGUAGGGCCCGUGACUGGGACGAAGUCGUAACAAGGUAA
rnacentral:rRNA from 1 species